GAGGAAUAUUGGUCAAUGGGCGAGAGCCUGAACCAGCCAAGUCGCGUGAAGGAUGACUGUCUUAUGGAUUGUAAACUUCUUUUAUACGGGAAUAACAAGAGUCACGAGUGACUCCCUGCAUGUACCGUAUGAAUAAGCAUCGGCUAACUCCGUGCCAGCAGCCGCGGUAAUACGGAGGAUGCGAGCGUUAUCCGGAUUUAUUGGGUUUAAAGGGUGCGUAGGCGGCCUGUUAAGUCAGCGGUGAAAUCUAGGAGCUUAACUCCUAAAUUGCCAUUGAUACUGGCGGGCUUGAGUGUAGAUGAGGUAGGCGGAAUGCGUGGUGUAGCGGUGGAAUGCAUAGAUAUCACGCAGAACUCCGAUUGCGAAGGCAGCUUACUAAGGUACAACUGACGCUGAAGCACGAAAGCGUGGGUAUCAAACAGGAUUAGAUACCCUGGUAGUCCACGCAGUAAACGAUGAUAACUGGGCGUAUGCGAUAUACAGUAUGCUCCUAAGCGAAAGCGUUAAGUUAUCCACCUGGGGAGUACGCCGGCAACGGUG
rnacentral:rRNA from 1 species